rnacentral:rRNA from 1 species
CACUCCUACGGGAGGCAGCAGUGGGGAAUAUUGCACAAUAGGCGCAAGCCUGAUGCAGCCAUGCCGCGUGUAUGAAGAAGGCCUUCGGGUUGUAAAGUACUUUCAGCGGGGAGGAAGGCGAUAAGGUUAAUAACCUUGUCGAUUGACGUUACCCGCAGAAGAAGCACCGGCUAACUCCGUGCCAGCAGCCGCGGUAAUACGGAGGGUGCAAGCGUUAAUCGGAAUUACUGGGCGUAAAGCGCACGCAGGCGGUCUGUCAAGUCGGAUGUGAAAUCCCCAGGCUCAACCUGGGAACUGCAUUCGAAACUGGCAGGCUAGAGUCUUGUAGAGGGGGGUAGAAUUCCAGGUGUAGCGGUGAAAUGCGUAGAGAUCUGGAGGAAUACCGGUGGCGAAGGCGGCCCCCUGGACAAAGACUGACGCUCAGGUGCGAAAGCGUGGGGAGCAAACAGGAUUAGAUACCCCUGUAGUCCCAUG